GAUGAAGAACGUAGCGAAAUGCGAUAAGUAAUGUGAAUUGCAGAAUUCAGUGAAUCAUCGAAUCUUUGAACGCACAUUGCGCCCCCUGGUAUUCCGGGGGGCAUGCCUGUUCGAGCGUCAUUUGUACCUUCAAGCUCUGCUUGGUGUUGGGUGUUUGUCCUUGCUCUAGUGGCGGGACUCGCCUUAAAGUAAUUGGCAGCCAGUGUUUUGGUUUUGAAGCGCAGCACAAGUCGCGAUUCAAGUCUAUACGCUAGUUUCCACAAGUCUUUUAUCACUUUUGACCUCGGAUCAGGUAGGGAUACCCGCUGAACUUAAGCAUAUCAAUAAGCGGAGGA
rnacentral:misc_RNA from 1 species